CCCCAGGUGGGAUGCUUAAUGCUUUCGCUUAGCCGCUGAUACCAGGUACCAACAGCGGGCAUCCAUCGUUUACUGUGCGGACUACCAGGGUAUCUAAUCCUGUUUGAUACCCGCACCUUCGAGCUUAAGCGUCAGUUGCGCUCCCGUCAGCUGCCUUCGCAAUCGGAGUUCUUCGUCAUAUCUAAGCAUUUCACCGCUACACGACGAAUUCCGCCAACGUUGUGCGUACUCAAGGAAAACAGUAUGCGCUGCAAUUCAGACGUUGAGCGUCUACAUUUCACAACACACUUAAUCUCCAGCCUACGCUCCCUUUAAACCCAAUAAAUCCGGAUAACGCCUGGACCUUCCGUAUUACCGCGGCUGCUGGCACGGAAUUAGCCGGUCCUUAUUCGUAUGGUACCUGCAAAUAGGGACACGUCCCUAACUUUAUCCCCAUACAAAAGCAGUUUACAACCCAUAGGGCCGUCAUCCUGCACGCUACUUGGCUGGUUCAGACUUCCGUCCAUUGACCAAUAUUCCUCACUGCUGCCUCCCG
rnacentral:rRNA from 1 species